GUUACACAAAAGAUUGGCAUUUUCUGGUAGAAGGUUGCAAUUUUCCGCUAGAGAGAUGAGAUUUUUCAACAGUCUAAGAACUAAUAGAAAGCUAUUUGUUCACAGAUAUAAAAUUCGAAACCAACAUAAAAAAUCUGUAGUAACUCAACAGGUACAUGAAAUGAAUACAGAAGCAAAUUUGUCCUCUUCUUACCUUAAAACCAAAAGGGAUAU
rnacentral:misc_RNA from 1 species